rnacentral:piRNA from 1 species
GACAAGGAAAAGCACCACCAUAUGACUGUC